rnacentral:lncRNA from 1 species
CUUUCCAUUCUCUCCUGCAGCUGGUGGGGUGCAGUCAGGCCGGUACCUGCUGCCAGGGGACCCCUUUCCUCCUGCGCCCUGUGGGGUCCCUGCAAGGGGAGGACCAGAAAGGCAAGGGCGGCCGCAGCGGCGAAGGGGAGCACAAGUGGAGAAGGGCCCUGGAGGAACCGUGCAUUUUGGAGCAGGGAAUACGGGACAGAGAACUUAAAGGAAAACUUCUGCAGACUUCAGCUAUAAAUCAAAAUAGAGCUGAGAGCUGACCACAAGAUUCCUGAGCUUUGUAACAACCUGAGGGGUGGUCCAGAGAGGCAGGGUGGUGGUGACUGCAUGCCCCCAGGAAGAGGCAUACAGGGCUAUACAGCGAGCAGUGGUCAUCAUCCCCACGUCUUCUGCAUCAAAAGUAACAAGGGAAAAUCUACAGCCAGCCUGAAACGUUACUCCCCAGAAGCAGGCUGGGAAAAUAAUAAGGAAUGGCCAGGAAGAAAAAUCACUUUGCAACAACCAGACGCACGGAGCCUGAGAUGGCAGAAAUUUACAGCACCUUCUCCUUGGGCCUGGGACGCGAUAACUCCAUGCAGUGCAAGGCAGAUGCACGGCAUCAUCAGCCUAAGAACCUGGCAGUCAACAUGGAAAACAGGGUAUGGGGCUAGAGUCAGAGACCCAGGACAUCUUCAUCCCCAGGAUUUGUGGCAAAAUCUUCUUAUGAAGAGUGUGGAGGAGGAAAAUGAAGCCAUGCAGUGUGUGUCUUUGAGGAUUCCUGUUAGAGAAGGAGAAAGUGUGAAGAUGCCGAUUUGAAAAAGUAACGUGAGAAUAAUGGAAGCCGGAUCCAUAAAAUAGGAGCGGUGGUAUCAGCAGAGCAGCAGAAGUGCUGGGACGUUACAGAACAACACAGUGCAGUAAGUGCCAGAGAUACUCACCAAUGUAGAGUUCAGAGGGUUUCCAAAAACCGAGUUUAUUGCUGCUGCAUUGGUAUAAUCUGAUUUACAGUGAUUCCCAGCAGCUGCCAAUCAAGUCUAAGAUGUUUCUUUCACAGAAAUUCUACAUAACCAAAAGUUUGGAAGGA